rnacentral:snoRNA from 1 species
GCCAUGCAAAAGCAAUCUUCCCUUCAGAAUGACUGAUGGUAUGCUCAGGUUUUUCAUAGUAUAUCAUCAUUAAAAGUGAAUAAAAUA